UACGUAGGGUGCAAGCGUUAAUCGGAAUUACUGGGCGUAAAGCGUGCGCAGGCGGUUUUGUAAGUCUGUCGUGAAAUCCCCGGGCUCAACCUGGGAAUUGCGAUGGAGACUGCAAGGCUAGAAUCUGGCAGAGGGGGGUAGAAUUCCACGUGUAGCAGUGAAAUGCGUAGAGAUGUGGAGGAACACCGAUGGCGAAGGCAGCCCCCUGGGUCAAGAUUGACGCUCAUGCACGAAAGCGUGGGGAGCAAACGAGGAUUAGAGUACCC
rnacentral:rRNA from 1 species